GGCGGCGUGCCUAAUACAUGCAAGUAGAACGCUGAAGGAGGAGCUUGCUUCUCUGGAUGAGUUGCGAACGGGUGAGUAACGCGUAGGUAACCUGCCUGGUAGCGGGGGAUAACUAUUGGAAACGAUAGCUAAUACCGCAUAACAGUAGAUGUUGCAUGACAUUUGCUUAAAAGGUGCAAUUGCAUCACUACCAGAUGGACCUGCGUUGUAUUAGCUAGUUGGUGGGGUAACGGCUCACCAAGGCGACGAUACAUAGCCGACCUGAGAGGGUGAUCGGCCACACUGGGACUGAGACACGGCCCAGACUCCUACGGGAGGCAGCAGUAGGGAAUCUUCGGCAAUGGACGGAAGUCUGACCGAGCAACGCCGCGUGAGUGAAGAAGGUUUUCGGAUCGUAAAGCUCUGUUGUAAGAGAAGAAACGAGUGUGAGAGUGGAAAAGUUUCA
rnacentral:rRNA from 1 species